UACAGAGGUCUCGAGCGUUGUUCGGAUUCAUUGGGCGUAAAGGGCGCGUAGGCGGCGGGGUAAGUCUGGUGUGAAAAUCUCGGAGCUCAACUCCGAAAUUGCACUGGAUACUGCUCUGCUAGAGGGCUGGAGAGGAGAUCGGAAUUCACGGUGUAGCAGUGAAAUGCGUAGAUAUCGUGAGGAAGACCAGUGGCGAAGGCGGAUCUCUGGACAGCUCCUGACGCUGAGGCGCGAAGGCUAGGGGAGCAAACGGG
rnacentral:rRNA from 1 species